UUACACAAAAAUACUGAAUAUCGAUUUAAGCGAUUAAAAGUUAAAUUGAUUGUCAGCACUAGCACGAAAGCGCGCGCAGCAUUUAUGAAAAUGAGAGCAAGUUAUUUUGUGAGCAGUUGAGCCAACAAAAGAGAGCGCGAGAGUAAAAGAGAGAGUUAUUGUGAGCAACGCUCCCGCUAUUUUCCCACUGUUGUUGAUGGGACUUUCCGCUGCGGCCGCCAAAUUUUUCAACACGCCGAAUUCGCGGCCAGGAGCAGCAGCAGCAGCAGCGACGCCGACAGCAGCAGCAGCCGAGUGAGCGAAACAGCACAGAACAGUUUUCAGUUUUCGGGUCAGUCAGAGCGCACCAUCGUCUUCAGCGAGGCACAAGCACACACGAGCGCUAGUGCAACGCUUGAAGUAAAAAGUCAACAAACGUUAAUUGUAAAUAAGUAACAAA